AUCUGAUUUUUUCGUUUCUCAAUAGUAUCUCGGUACUUGGUAUCAAAUAAAGUCAACCAAACCUUAUUUUGAAGAUGGUCAACGUUGUAUCAAAGCUGACUACAAGUUUGAAGCAACUACUGGUAUUUUUGUUACCAACAGCACUGACCUUGAUUCAGUUAACAAUGCAGUUGAAAGAGUUCAAUUCACCAAGUCAUAUGAUCAAGACAAUGUUUUCACAGCCAAAUACUUCUUAGAAUUCAGGUUCUGGUUAUUACCUCACUACACAAUAUUGGGUUGUUGACACUGAAUACAAUAAUUAUGCUCUGGUUCUUUCAUGUAACAAUCUUCUUGGUCUCGAUCACUCCCGUGAUGUUUGGAUACUUUCAAGGAAACAAACAUUGGAGGACAAUAUUGUUGCAAAUCUAAUUGCUGAAUUAGACACAGUUGGACUUCAUGGCAUUGCUUUUGG